UUACGGGAGGCAGCAGUGAGGAAUAUUGGUCAAUGGGCGUAAGCCUGAACCAGCCAUCCCGCGUGCAGGAAGAAGGCGCUAUGCGUUGUAAACUGCUUUUCCAGGGAAAGAAAACCCCCGACGUGUCGGGGCUUGCCGGUACCCUGGGAAUAAGCAUCGGCUAACUCCGUGCCAGCAGCCGCGGUAAUACGGAGGAUGCGAGCGUUAUCCGGAUUUAUUGGGUUUAAAGGGUGCGUAGGCGGGUUAAUAAGUCAGUGGUGAAAACCUUCAGCUUAACUGGAGACUUGCCAUUGAUACUGUUAGUCUUGAGUACGGUCAAGGUAGGCGGAAUGUGUAAUGUAGCGGUGAAAUGCUUAGAUAUUACACAGAACACCGAUUGCGAAGGCAGCUUACUGGACCAAUACUGACGCUGAUGCACGAAAGCGUGGGGAGCGAACAGGAUUAGAUACCCCGGUAGC
rnacentral:rRNA from 1 species